rnacentral:lncRNA from 1 species
UCACACCACUCCACUCCAGCCUGGACGACAGAGUGAGACUUUGUCUCAAAACAACAACAACAAAAAGUCAGCAGAGAGGAAAGGCUGGUCCUGGAACCCCAGUCUGAGAGGCCAAGUCUGCUCCUUGCAACCUCUGGAGCUUUGCUUACCCAGGGAGCAGGUUGGGGGGUUUGCUCAUCCACCUGCAGGUGGAUUUGGUGCAGCCUGGGCUCAAACUCAAGGGGUCCAACAGCCCUUCCUCCCUGAGCCUCUGUUUCCUCCUCUGUAAAGCAAGGAUUAUUCAUCAUUAACUCAUGUUUAUUAAGCACUUAAGGCAUCCAGGUCUGUUAGGACACCCUGCCCUCAGGGACCUCAUGUCUGGUAGACAAGGGAACGAGGAAAUGACUUCUGACAGGAUUUUGCAAAAGAAAGAAAACCAGGCAAAGCACCAGGUCAAGACUGCAGUGGUUGCUGAAGGCUACUUUGUGGAGGUGGUGAUUCAGGGCAAUAGCACGCCCAAAGGCCCUGAGGCAGGGAUGUGUUCAGCCCCUUGGGACAGCAUUGAGGAGGCGGCUGUGACUGAAGCAAAGUCCUGGAUGCUGGCCUCCGGGUCUUAUCGCUGAAAUCUCAGGCCUCCAACAGCAGGGAAACAUCUGCUUUCCGGAGUUCAAGGAUCUUCCAGCCCGGACGGAGGUCACAGGGAAGGAGGAUCGCUGAAACAAAGAGAAAGGGUCACACGUUGGGCGCUGACUGCAUCAACAGGGGAGACACUGGCCAGGCCCAACCCAUGGAGCGAAGAGUGAAUGCACCUGGCUCAGCUUUCAGACUGGAGGCUGCUCGAGAGCAAGGCCUGAGGCCGAGGUUUCUUGGGGGCCCAGCAGCACCAGUGUGAGGGGGCGCCGAGGAGAAGACCAGCAAUUUCUGCCUGUGGGCCAUUGAGGCAUCAGGCCUCCAGGUCAGGGGGGAUACCACCCCACCCACCAAUAAUAAAGCCCCUGUGAUUUAAGCCCAAUAAAAAGGCCCGGGGAAGGAAUUCAGGCUUGGCCUGAGGCCACUCUGGGGUCAGCAAGAGCUCCAGCGACAGAUAUAUCUGGGUUUGUGCUCCACUUUGUCACAUGUGCACUGUGUGACACUGAAGAGGUCAGUUUACCUCUCUGAGCCUCAGUUUUCCCAUUUGGAAAUCAAUCUGUCUCAUGUUAAUUGCACAUUUACAAGGAGUUGAGGCCCACAUCAGGCCCCAUCAGCUGGGAUGUAUCAGCUCCACUCCAGGGGAGGGGCCAGGAGGAGCUGGGGUGAGGAGAACAGGAAGGGAGGUUGAGAAGGUGGAUGGGGCCAGGCGCAGUGGCUUAUGCCUAUAAUCCCAACACUU